rnacentral:rRNA from 1 species
GAGUUUGAUCCUGGCUCAGGAUGAACGCUAGCGGCAGGCUUAAUACAUGCAAGUCGAGGGGGAUCAGUUGGGUAGCAAUACUUGAUUGUGAGACCGGCAAACGGGUGCGGAACACGUACGCAACUUUCCCAAAACUGGUGAAUAGCCCUCCGAAAGGAGGAUUAAUACACCGUAACUUAAUGUGGUGGCAUCACUAUAUUAAUAUAGCUCCGGCGGUUUUGGAUGGGCGUGCGCCUGAUUAGGUAGUUGGCGGGGUAACGGCCCACCAAGCCAACGAUCAGUAACUGGUGUGAGAGCACGACCAGUCACACGGGCACUGAGACAC